rnacentral:rRNA from 1 species
CGCGUAGGCGGGUGACUAAGUCCGAGGUGAAAGCCCAGGGCUCAACCCUGGAACUGCCUUGGAAACUGGACAUCUAGAGUACGGGAGAGGUGAGUGGAACUCCGAGUGUAGAGGUGAAAUUCGUAGAUAUUCGGAAGAACACCAGUGGCGAAGGCGACUCACUGGCCCGUUACUGACGCUGAGGCGCGAAAGCGUGGGGAGCAAACAGGAUUAGAUACCCUGGUAGUCCACGCUGUAAACGAUGAGUGCUAGUUGUCGGCAUGCAUGCAUGUCGGUGACGCAGCUAACGCAUUAAGCACUCCGCCUGGGGAGUACGGUCGCAAGAUUAAA